AUCACUUGUUUCAUAUUCAUUCAUCGAUUCUUCCUCAUCACUUGUGUCAUUUUCAUCAAGUAACUCUUCCUCGCUUAUUUCAUUUUCAUCAGUUGGAUCUUCCUCGUCAUUUGCCCUGGAUGUUCCUUCUCCAUAAUCAUGACCAUUCAAUCUAAGUUCAGAAGGAUCAAACUCUUCAUAUAGGCCUUCGUUAUGCUUCAAAUCACCUGCAAAUUCAUCAUCCACCCUUUCUUCAACACUUGAAAUGUCAUUUUGAUACGCUACAUCUAAUGUGUCCUCCACUACAACUCUACCCACGGGCUUUGUUUUUAUAACUACCCGUCAUAAGAUUUAUUCUUACACAAAGGAUAAGGAGCGUAAUACACUUGUUUCACAUUUUGUGCAAUGACAAAUGGAUCAUAGAGUCCAUAUUCCCUUAUACGCUUAAUUUCAACUAUUUUGUACUGAGGGUGCACCUUUGUACCUAACCUAGGAGUAGGAUCAUACCAUUUACACCGAAAGAGAACCAAUUUUUUCUUUGGCUAACCAACAUGAUAAUCGAGUUCUAAAAUCUCGUGAAGCACACCAUAAUAAUCAACACUGCCAUCACCGUUCACCCAAACCCCACUAUUUUUGGUUUUCUUGCCCUUAGAGAACUCUUUUGUAUGAAAUCUGUACCCAUUGGCAAAGUACAUAGAAAACUUUCUGACUUUAGCAUCAGGUCCCCAAGCUAUAUCACGUAAAAAUUGGCCAUUUGGGUCAUAAUUAAGUAGAUUAUGAACUUAUAAAAAGUUUUAAAAAAAUUAGAAUUAAAAUAUACAUGAUAUUGAACAUUGCUAGAAAAUCGUGUUAAAUAUUUAAGUUACACUUACAUAUUCUCUAAACC
rnacentral:lncRNA from 1 species